rnacentral:rRNA from 1 species
UACAUGGGGUGCAAACGUUGUUCGGAAUUACUGGGCGUAAAGAGCUCGUAGGUGGUUUGUCGCGUUGUCCGUGAAAACUCACAGCUUAACUGUGGGCGUGCGGGCGAUACGGGCAGACUGGAGUACUGCAGGGGAGACUGGAAUUCCUGGUGUAGCGGUGGAAUGCGCAGAUAUCAGGAGGAACACCGGUGGCGAAGGCGGGUCUCUGGGCAGUAACUGACGCUGAGGAGCGAAAGCGUGGGGAGCGAACAGG